GUCCACGCCGUAAACGAUGAUAACUAGUUGUUAGCGAUAUACUGUUAGCGACACAGCGAAAGCAUUAAGUUAUCCACCUGGGGAGUACGAUCGCAAGAUUGAAACUCAAAGGAAUUGACGGGGGCCCGCACAAGCGGAGGAACAUGUGGUUUAAUUCGAUGAUACGCGAGGAACCUUACCUGGGCUUGAAAGUUAGUGACGGAUGCCGAAAGGUGUCUUCCCAGCAAUGGGCACGAAACUAGGUGCUGCAUGGUUGUCGU
rnacentral:rRNA from 1 species